CUCAUUCUUAAGUGUUUUCAAAGUCACCUGCAUUAACAUAAAUCCAGUUGUGGAAAGGGCUUGUUAUAAACAAGACACUCAUUUUACCUUACAGCUCUAAAGUGUUUCUCAGGAACUAAGGACAAGAAACCAACUACUAUAACAAAAGAUGACUCAUUGCUCUUAUGCAGAGGAAACUCCUAGGGUUUUGGGCACUGUGAGCCAGGAACUGGAGAUGAAAACCAAAUAUGUAUGAGAAAGCUUAUAUAUCACAGUAUCAUAGAACCAAGGCGUGAUAGUUACACAAAGAUGAAUUUUGUUCAAAUACAAGGAAUCUGGCUCAAUAUGUGACAACAUAUUGUAAUAGUAAUAUAAAACAUUCCAAAGUAUUCAAAAAUAAAAUAAAUUGCCUCAAACUAUCUCCUGACUUUAGGAAAUUCCAGUCUUUGGAGCUGUCCAUGGAAAAAUGAGAAUUUGGACUCAUUCCUACUGUCAACACAUGUACUCAAAUGUCUCCUCCUCUGUGCUGAAGUUGAAUCCUUCCUGAGGAGACCAUGCUGCUGGCGGCCAAGAACAAAGUGAGGUGUUCCAGAGAAGCAAGUCUGGGGUGACAGCCAAAUCUCCACAAAGCAGAGAGUUCUCUAAAUAAUGAAGAGUUGACUGUGACGGCAAAAGUCUUCUUGCAGGUGCAGAUGCAUGCACUUUGGAAGAGAAGCAACCCCUUUCAGCUGCUUCCCCUACCCCAUCACCAGCACCUUAUUUUCACAGUGUUCCAAUCUUACUUGAGUUCUUACUUGAGGAAUCUCAUUACUCCAAAAUAUUCCAGGUGUGGGAUGGAGCAGGAAAGCAAGGAAGGCAGCCAACACUGUAAAAUGCUCAAGAAUAAAGAUCCUCUCAGAUUACACACAGCAGAAGUUUCUCUCUGAACAUAUUUGGCUUCCAUGAGAAUUCUACAAACACAGUAUCUGCGACAGAAGGCUCUAAAGUCAGGGAACAAACUUAUCUUAACUGUGUGGGGUAGUUUCUCAUUUACACAGAAAUCAUCCUUUCCUAAAUCAAACUGCAGUACCCACAUCCCAACAUUUAGUACCAGUCUAUCCUCGCACUGUUCUAGGCCUCCUAUUUUCAACAGUCUUCCCCCUGUGGCCUUGGGCAAAUAACUCAUCCUUUCUGUGCUUCUAAAUCCGAUAUAAUAUAGGACAAUAACAGUACCCAUUUGACAAGGCAUUCUUAUUUUGAAGAUUAACUCGGUUGAUAUUCCGAAAGCCCAUGAGAAGAUAAUCAUAGUAUAUUAGUGAUCAUGAUAACAAUGGGUAUUAUUUUUAACCUUGACAACCAUGUUUAAGGAACAGGAAUAUACUUGCCUCAGAGACUGGGACUGAGAGUCUGAGUGGCCUCUCUCUCACCGAAUGUGUGCCAAGAGUCAAACGCAACUUUCCCUGACACCAAAGCCCCUACCCAUCCUUGAAAUCAUCACUCAAUGGACAGUAUUCAUAAACAGUCACCAACCUAUUGUCAGACACAGAAACGGAGCAAUAUCGGACAAGACUCAGCUGUUGCCUUGAGUCUAGUGAAGACAGCAGGGAGGUCUUCAAGUGGUCAAAGUAUGGUGGCAAGGAUGAGACUAUGCAGCUGUAAGGGCAGACAGAAAGGUGCUAAGUGUGUCUAGAGGGGUCGGGCAAAGCUACCUGGGGGAAGCAGCACUUCAGCAGAGAUCUGGAGUAUGAGUCAGAGUCAGCCAGCAAGCCGGUGGGGAACAACAAUCAGUUGGCAUUUGCUCCCUGGUGUUCUGUGCUGGAACUCUGGAGCUGCCAAAGCUAACUUCAUGCCAGGUGACAAAUGAUCUGAGUGCCCACAGCUGCAGCUGCCGCUUUAUACCCUCUUCCUCCUACUUCCAUCGUUAAUGAGCCUGAGACCAGAAAAGAAUACAUCUUAGUAACCAAGAGCUCUUCUGUUAGCCUUUGGUCCAGAGAUACAAGAAACGUUCUUCACUCCUGUUAACAACACAGCUACAGAUCCUUUAUUACUUCCCUCUAGCACUUGCUAAAAUAGAAGUUUGCUGCUAACUCUCA